GGGCAUUUGGGGGAUACUGAGACUAAUAUCCAAGCCAUAGCAAUGUGGGAGAAAACCAAGCCACUGCCACCUAGCCAAGAGGAGAGGAAACCCAGGCUGUGCUCACACAGGGCACAGCUUAUGCAACUUGUCCUCAAGCCCUUUAGAUCAUCAGAUGUGACAGUGAUGAGGUGAGCACAUAGUGUUUAACAAGAAAUCGAAUCUUUAAAUGUUAUAUGUGACACUAAAACUGGCUGCUCUGUUAAUCAGAGAACUAUCCCGGUUUCACAAUUCUAACACAAGUUUUCUCACAUAAACUUGGCCUGUUGAAGAGAACGUCCUACCACCCAACUCUCAAUAUAUUGAAGUUUAUUAAAGAAAAAAAAAACCACCAGGUCAGGUGACUCCUAUCAUUAUCUUCUCUAGGUUCAAUGCUUUAACCAUGGGAAACAGAGCUGCAUUAAGCAAGAAUUUUGCUAUCACUGAGAAAAUCUGCUCAUUAAGUUUGCCAGAAGAUGUCCUGCCUCCCAGCCAAAAUGACAGGCUUGUGAAUCCCACGCCAGUGGGUGUGGGUGGCAUAUCAGUCUUUCGUCUUUGAAGGUAGAUGAUGCAAGCCGGUAACAGGAAAGGGCUUUGACAACCUCUUUCAGUCCUGUCUUUACAAAUGGAGGCUGUUCUGACUUUGAAGAAAACCUUGGGAGUAAAGAGAAGUUUUGCCCUCAAGAUAUUAAAUCUAAGCUUCUUUUGGACAUCAUGGCCAGCAUGUAAUGAGACCCUGGCCAAGAAGGAAGCCAACAAAACCAAGAUCAAAGCCAAGAAAUGAGAAGAGAGAUACAGAAUCUUGCUGACAUUGUUGAAGAGCCUGGACCCAGGAAUGUCUGUAUCUCAAACUACCUUUGGACAUAUCCUUAGAUCAUUUGACAAAUUAUCAAAAUUAUGUGAUAGAGAGAGGAACGAUGGGAGAAUGGGGAAUGCUCCAGCCAUGGCUUGAUAUUCUUGAAAAAUUAAUGCUUGCCCUUUCAGCAUACAGUCAUAAUUAUAUAGAGAGGUUGUCCUUUAGUGAUUACAUUUCCCAGAUCCUGGCAUCUGUGUAGGGACAUGUAAUUUGGUUUUGCAAAUGGAGGAGGGUGGGAAUGAAGUAUGUCACUUUAGAGUUGAACUAGUUUAGAACUGGGUGUGCCUCCCCUAUAGUCUUCAGCUCUAUUUUGUUGGUUGGAUUCAGAGGCUUCCACUGAUUUUUUUGGUUGUUUUUUACUUAAAAUCAUUAGAAAAGAGAAUGCAUUCCCGAAGUUAUUCUUAAGUGCAAGGGAAUAGAAGAUUGAACUAGUGAAAACAAAGAUAUUGUAAAAACUCUCAAUGCUGAAAUUCUUGUGCCCUUUUUUAAUUAAAAGAAAUAACUGAAUCUGAUUGAUGAUGAUGACAAUUAAAUGGCCUGUAAAACCAUGUACCCAUAACCUGAACAUCAGCAAUCAGCUUCACUUGCCAGAUCUGGGAGCUGAUGUUUACCAGCAAAGCACUUGAUUUUGGUCGCUUGACUUCUAAGGACCUUAAUUUCAUUGUACAGAGAAUCUCCAAGCUCUCUUCCAACUGUGAGUUGCCUUAUUGGAACUUGAACAAUGACAAGACUGUUACCCUGUGAGACAUUUGAGUCAUGGCUUUGCAUGAAAGACAUUGGGGCAAAGUAGAGGGACUUCUGUACCUCAUGAGCUUUUCUGUUUGAAGGGGUUUUGAAAAAUUUAGUUAUAUAUAUAUAUAUAUAUAUAUAUACAUACACACACAUAUACAUAUAUAUAUGCUACAUCUAUUUGACUUUUGUUUUUCCU
rnacentral:lncRNA from 1 species